rnacentral:pre_miRNA from 1 species
GCUAGGAAGAGGAAGAAAGAGAGAGCUCAAGAGCUGUGGGAAUGGGAAUGGGAACAUGGAGGAAACCCUACCCUGCUUGUUUUCUCCUCCAGAAAUAGAGUGAAAGCUUUGAUUUGGUGUUUCCCGGUGCGUCCCAUUCCUAUCGUUCUUAAGCGCUCCUUCCUCUUCCUUUUUGCC